AGCGGAGUGGUGCAGCGGAAGUGUGCUGGGCCCAUAACCCAGCAGUUGAUGGAUCAACCCUGUCCUCUGCUA